UUUAAGAUUUAUUUAUUUAUUAGAGAGAGGAGGGAAGGGGUAGAGGAAAAGGGAGAGAGAGUCACAAGCAGACUCCACACUGAGCACGGAGCCCAAUGCAGGGCUCAGUCUCAUGACCCUGAGAUCAUGACCUGAGCCAAAACCAAGAGUAGGUGACUUAACCGACUGAGCCACCCAGGUGCACCUUGAUGUCCCUUUGUGUAGAUGAUCAUGGCCCAGGCUCAGGGUGCCUGAGGCAGCUGCCCUCAGUCCAGCCCUGCUCUGCUGGUCCCCCAUUUGUCACCAGGGAGCCUCUUGACCCGCUGAACUCAGAACUGACCUCCUGAACUCAGGAAACUCCAAGAAGCUUCCGCCUGUCAAUUUCAUCUUUUAGAAACUAACAAGUUGCGGAAACAGGAAAAGAAAUGUCUGGGAACCAUACCUGUCCAGAUUACAUACUAGGAUCAAGUGGCACGUCUAAUGAUUUCCAUAAUUUCAAAGUCACCAUCAACAUGACCAGUAUUUCAAGAUCUCUGCAGCAACCGUAACGGGACAUGAACGCUAUGAUUUCUAUUUGUGACAACGACCUAAAUGCCAAAGUUAAUCAUGGGAGGAGAUGCUAAAUUUCGGUUAGAGAGAGAGAGCACAGCAGAGGGAGAGGGAGAAGCAGACUCCCGGCUGAGCAGGGAGCCCCGAUGUGGGGCUAGAUCUCAGGACCCUGGAUCAUGACCUGAGCUGAAGGCAGACGCUUAAUCGACUGAGCCACCCAGGCGCCCCAUCACAAAGUUUUAUUUUGAGAGAAUCCACAGCCUUUCUCCUGAGCUCACCAUCCUGUUUUGUCACCUCUCAGGACACCCACAGAACGGUCACAUUGAUCUCUAAGGUGGUUGGGCAUCCAGGAGCUAUGAUUUACCUGUGAGCAGAGGUGAUUAUUACCCUGUCAAUGGGAGAGCUUCAAUCCUGCAAGGUGACCUCCCUUUGAGCUUUGACAAGUCACUCUCUUUCACCCAGUCUCAGUUUCUACUUUUCUGAAACAGGGUGAUAAACUGUCCUCCCUUGGUUUUGGGGGAAGUUGUAAAGAUUGGCUAAAAUCAUAACAAUAAGGAGGGGGGAGGACGUGCUAUGUCCAUGGGAGGAAUUGUCACCUGUGAUGUUGUCAUUGCCAUGAGUUAGGACUGAGCCUACCCUCCCCUUGCCUUUAGAAGUCAAAGAUAUGGAUCAUGGGGGAGGGGGGAGAAAAGAAGUUAAAGAUCAAUUACCCCAAUAAAUAUCGAUAAAAAGUAAGAUCCA
rnacentral:lncRNA from 1 species